rnacentral:rRNA from 1 species
UUCACUCCCAAACCCAAUGUGAACGUUACCAAACUGUUGCCUCGGCGGGGUCACGCCCCGGGUGCGUCGCAGCCCCGGAACCAGGCGCCCGCCGGAGGAACCAACCAAACUCUUUCUGUAGUCCCCUCGCGGACGUAUUUCUUACAGCUCUGAGCAAAAAUUCAAAAUGAAUCAAAACUUUCAACAACGGAUCUCUUGGUUCUGGCAUCGAUGAAGAACGCAGCGAAAUGCGAUAAGUAAUGUGAAUUGCAGAAUUCAGUGAAUCAUCGAAUCUUUGAACGCACAUUGCGCCCGCCAGUAUUCUGGCGGGCAUGCCUGUCCGAGCGUCAUUUCAACCCUCGAACCCCUCCGGGGGAUCGGCGUUGGGGAUCGGGACCCCUCACACGGGUGCCGGCCCCUAAAUACAGUGGCGGUCUCGCCGCAGCCUCUCCUGCGCAGUAGUUUGCACAACUCGCACCGGGAGCGCGGCGCGUCCACGUCCGUAAAACACCCAACUUUCUGAAAUGUUGACCUCGGAUCAGGUAGGAAUACCCGCUGAACUUAAGCAUAUCAAUAAGCGGAGGAA